rnacentral:lncRNA from 1 species
AGUCAUCGACUGAUGGUAGGCAAGUUAGUAAACAAACCUGCCGAUUGGAUGUACUUUCUAAUCGAAAUAGAUUAUUAGUUUCUGAUGAUUAUGAAGUAGACACCAAACUCCCAUGGAACUAGUUGAUCUGUCUGUUAUGUAGGGUUCAGAGCUAAUGUAGUUAGCUGCAAUAGGUUUAUAUUUCUACAUAGUUCCCUUUGCAUCCCAAGCCUAUUGAUGCUUAUAACCGGCAACAGAUGUAUAUUUCAACAUCAGUGACGCUCCUGCUCUCAAGAUGUUUAUUCUAUAGGCAGUCAGCCCUAGCGCAUCUGCGAGAACAUUUGACACUAAUACAACGCGUGUAUUAUAUUGCUCUCACACAGAAGUCUGACCAAAGAUGUAACACCAGUAUAAAUCGGCGGUCGCGGUCCUUGACUCUUUGUUUAUACAGUGUUCAAAUACUCAAUGCAGCUACAUUUCCUGUGGACGGCAUUCAAACUAGCUACCUAUUCAUGUGGCGAUAAGGAAUAAUGAGGGAAGAUCAAUACUACAAAAUGAUGAACUCUUCACACAGGAUUAAUCAUAUUGCUGGAUACGUACAGCUAGAUCAUGCAUGGUAUAUAGUUCUGUAGUUCAAUACAUGGUGAUUUUGUGGAAGUUUGAAGUUUCUCAUU